rnacentral:rRNA from 1 species
ACGGGAGGCAGCAGUGGGGAAUAUUGGGCAAUGGGGGGAACCCUGACCCAGCAACGCCGCGUGAGGGACGAAGGUUUUCGGAUCGUAAACCUCUGUCCUUGGUGAAGAGUAAGAGACGGUAACCAGGGAGGAAGCCCCGGCUAACUACGUGCCAGCAGCCGCGGUAAUACGUAGGGGGCAAGCGUUGUCCGGAAUGAUUGGGCGUAAAGGGCGCGUAGGCGGCCUUUUAAGUCUGAAGUGAAAGUCCUGUUUUUAAGAUGGGAAUUGCUUUGGAUACUGGAGGGCUUGAGUGCAGGAGAGGUUAGUGGAAUUCCCAGUGUAGCGGUGAAAUGCGUAGAGAUUGGGAGGAACACCAGUGGCGAAGGCGGCUUACUGGACUGUAACUGACGUUGAGGCUCGGAAGCGUGGGGAGCAAACAGGAUUAGAUACCCUGGUA